rnacentral:lncRNA from 1 species
CUCUGUUCAGCUCUUCAAGUGGUUGUGGCUUGGAGUGAUCUUGGUUGCUUCUGGAUUUGUCACACAGCACAUUCUAUUGGGAAGACAUCUCUGCUUCUAAAAAGCACAUGCAUUAACUGCCUGAUUCAUGUGGUGACAUGUGGCAUAUCCAAAUGUGUUAUGGAUCUCCCAGGAAUAAAAACAACAUAGCAAAAUCAUCACCUUGGGAUGUUCAUUGAGUGAAUAUUUU